rnacentral:sRNA from 1 species
AGAGCGGGCCUUUCAGGCAUCCUCUCCUAAAACUUUCCAGGCCGGUCCUUUUUGGAUCGGCCUUUUUUUUGGUCAGG